rnacentral:rRNA from 1 species
AACGAACGCUGGCGGCAUGCCUAACACAUGCAAGUCGAACGAGACCUUCGGGUCUAGUGGCGCACGGGUGCGUAACGCGUGGGAACCUGCCCUUAGGUUCGGAAUAACCCCCCGAAAGGGGUGCUAAUACCGGAUAAUGUCUUCGGACCAAAGAUUUAUCGCCUUUGGAUGGGCCCGCGUUGGAUUAGCUAGUUGGUAGGGUAAAAGCCUACCAAGGCGACGAUCCAUAGCUGGUCUGAGAGGAUGAUCAGCCACACUGGGACUGAGACACGGCCCAGACUCCUACGGGAGGCAGCAGUGGGGAAUAUUGGACAAUGGGCGAAAGCCUGAUCCAGCAAUGCCGCGUGAGUGAUGAAGGCCUUAGGGUUGUAAAGCUCUUUUACCCGGGAUGAUAAUGACAGUACCGGGAGAAUAAGCUCCGGCGAACUCCGU